rnacentral:rRNA from 1 species
UACGGAAGGCAGCAGUGGGGAAUAUUGCACAAUGGGCGCAAGCCUGAUGCAGCCAUGCCGCGUGUAUGAAGAAGGCCUUCGGGUUGUAAAGUACUUUCAGUCGUGAGGAAGGUGUUAAGGUUAAUAACCUUAGCAAUUGACGUUAGCGACAGAAGAAGCACCGGCUAACUCCGUGCCAGCAGCCGCGGUAAUACGGAGGGUGCGAGCGUUAAUCGGAAUUACUGGGCGUAAAGGGCACGCAGGCGGUUAAUUAAGUUGGAUGUGAAAUCCCCGGGCUUAACCUGGGAAUGGCAUUCAAGACUGGUUAGCUAGAGUCUUGUAGAGGGGGUAGAAUUCCAUGUGUAGCGGUGAAAUGCGUAGAGAUGUGGAGGAAUACCGGUAGCGAAGGCGGCCCCUGGACAAAGACUGACGCUCAUGUGCGAAGCGUGGGGAGCAAACAGGGAUUAGAUACC